UACGAAGGGGGCUAGCGUUGUUCGGAAUUACUGGGCGUAAAGCGUAUGCAGGCGGAUCGUUAAGUCGGGGGUGAAAUCCCGAGGCUCAACCUCGGAACUGCCUUCGAUACUGGCGAUCUUGAGUCCGGGAGAGGUGAGUGGAACUGCGAGUGUAGAGGUGAAAUUCGUAGAUAUUCGCAAGAACACCAGUGGCGAAGGCGGCUCACUGGCCCGGUACUGACGCUGAGGCACGAAAGCGUGGGGAGCAAACAGG
rnacentral:rRNA from 1 species